rnacentral:rRNA from 1 species
AGAGGAGAAGAAGACACCAGGGAUUGCCCUAGUAACGGCGAGUGAAGCGGCAACAGCUCAAAUUUGAAAUCUGGCUCUCGGGCCCGAGUUGUAAUUUGUAGAGGAUGCUUUUGGUGAGGUGCCUUCCGAGUUCCCUGGAACGGGACGCCAUAGAGGGUGAGAGCCCCGUCUGGUUGGACACCGAUCCUCUGUAAAGCUCCUUCGACGAGUCGAGUAGUUUGGGAAUGCUGCUCUAAAUGGGAGGUAUAUGUCUUCUAAAGCUAAAUAUUGGCCAGAGACCGAUAGCGCACAAGUAGAGUGAUCGAAAGAUGAAAAGCACUUUGAAAAGAGAGUUAAAAAGUACGUGAAAUUGUUGAAAGGGAAGCGCUUGUGACCAGACUUGGGCUUGGUUGAUCAUCCAGGGUUCUCCCUGGCGCUCUCUUCCAGCCCAGGCCAGCAUCAUUUUGCUUCGGGGGAUAAAGGUUUCGGGAAUGUGGUCCCCUCCGGGGUGUGUUAUAGCCCGUCGUGCAAUACCCUGGGGCAGACUGAGGUUCNCGCAUAUGCAAGGAUGCUGGCGUAAUGGUCAUCAGCGACCCGUCUUGAAACACGGACCAAGGAGUCGUCUUCGUAUGCGAGUGUUCGGGUGUCAAACCCCUACGCGUAAUGAAAGUGAACGCAGGUGAGAGCUUCGGCGCAUCAUCGACCGAUCCUGAUGUUUUCGGAUGGAUUUGAGUAAGAGCAUACGGGGCCGGACCCGAAAGAAGGUGAACUAUGCCUGUAUAGGGUGAAGCCAGAGGAAACUCUGGUGGAGGCUCGCAGCGGUUCUGACGUGCAAAUCGAUCGUCAAACAUGGGCAUGGGGGCGAAAGACUAAUCGAACCUUCUAGUAGCUGGUUUCCGCG